rnacentral:rRNA from 1 species
AAAACGACUCUCGGCAACGGAUAUCUCGGCUCUCGCAUCGAUGAAGAACGUAGCGAACUGCGAUACUUGGUGUGGAUUGCAGAAUCCCGUGAACCAUCGAGUCUUUGAACGCAAGUUGCGCCCGAAGCCAUUAGGCCGAGGGCACGUCUGCCUGGGCGUCACGC